GACGAACGCUGGCGGCGUGCCUAAUACAUGCAAGUCGAGCGAACUUUUGGGAGCUUGCUCCCAAAAGUUAGCGGCGGACGGGUGAGUAACACGUGGGCAACCUGCCUAUAAGACUGGGAUAACUUCGGGAAACCGGAGCUAAUACCGGAUAAUUCUUUUCUACACAUGUAGAAAAGCUAAAAGACGGUUUACGCUGUCACUUAUAGAUGGGCCCGCGGCGCAUUAGCUAGUUGGUGAGGUAACGGCUCACCAAGGCCACGAUGCGUAGCCGACCUGAGAGGGUGAUCGGCCACACUGGGACUGAGACACGGCCCAGACUCCUACGGGAGGCUG
rnacentral:rRNA from 1 species